UUAGUUGUUGCAGUUAAAAGCUCGUAGUUGGAUUUUGGUUAAGAGGGCGCGGUCGGCCGUUUGGUCUGUACUGCGUUGUCUUGACUUCCUGAUGAGGACAUGCUCUUGGUUAACGCUGAGACAUGGAGUCAUCGUGGUUACUUUGAAAAAAUUAGAGUGUUCAAAGCGGGCUUACGCUUGAAUAUAUUAGCAUGGAAUAACACUAUAGGACUCCUGUCCUAUCUCGUUGGUCUCGGGAUGGGAGUAAUGAUUAAGAGGAACAGUUGGGGGCAUUCGUAUUUCAUUGUCAGAGGUGAAAUUCUUGGAUUUAUGAAAGACGAACUUCUGCGAAAGCAUUUGCCAAGGAUGUUUUCAUUAAUCAAGAACGAAAGUUGGGGGCUCGAAGAUGAUUAGAUACCAUCCUAGUCUCAACCAUAAACGAUGCCGACUAGGGAUUGGUGGAUGUUAAUUGAUGACUUCACCAGCACCUUAUGAGAAAUCAAAGUUUUUGGGUUCCGGGGGGAGUAUGGUCGCAAGGCUG
rnacentral:rRNA from 1 species